CUACGGACUUAAUUGGAUUGGAUUGAGUCUUGGUAUGGAAAUCUACUAAGUGAUAACUUUCAAAUUCAGAGAAACCCUGGAAUGAACAGUGGACAAUCCUGAGUCAAAUCAUAUUAUUUUACGAAAAUAAACAAACAAAGGUUCAGCAAGGGAGAAUAAAAAAAAGGAUAGGUGCAGAGAUGUCAUUGUGUGGAUGCCAUUUACACACGUAUACAAACCUCCAUUGUCCCUAAUUAAUCCGAACUCAAGUCGUAUUGGACUCAAUUUGAGGAAGUUCUCCAG
rnacentral:ribozyme from 1 species